rnacentral:misc_RNA from 1 species
AGAAAAAAAAUCGAAGCCGUCGCUCUUUAUGAAAUAUGUAACAUAUUUUGUGUUUGGGUGAUUGCGUCGGAAUUGAGCCGUCUUUUUCAUAUGUUAAUUCAUGUCAAAGUGGCUUAAAAUUCAUCAAUCUGGUACGAUUUAAAGCGUAUUUAAGAUCAGCCUUGAUUAAGAACGCGCGAUGACGUACCAUCUCAUGUAGUACGUUCGACCUGUCAUGUCAGGUUCAUUCGUAUACGACACUCAAC